rnacentral:rRNA from 1 species
AUUGAACGCUAGCGGGAUGCCUUACACAUGCAAGUCGAACGGAGUGGCGAACGGGUGAGUAAUGUAUCGGAACGUGCCCAGUAUCGGGGGAUAACUACGCGAAAGCGUAGCUAAUCCCGCAUACUAUUGGAGCGGCCGAUAUCGGCUAAGCUAGGUGGUGGGGUAACGGCUCACCAAGGCGACGAUCCGUAGCUGGGUUGAGAGGACGACCAGCCACACUGGGACUGAGAAAAGGACCAGACCCAGACGGGAGGCAACAGUGGGGAAUUUUGGACAACGGGGGAAACCCGGCUCCAGACAACCCAGGUGUGCGAUGAAGGGCUGCAAGUAGUAAAGGACUUUUGGCAGGAAAGCGGUACCUACAGAAUAAGCACCGGCUAAAUACGUGCCAGCCGGCGCGGUAAUUC